AGACUUCUGAAGUGGCCUCUCAGACAUGCCUAACCCCUCCUGCCUGAGACCCGGCUCCAACCUGGGUCACCUCCAACGUGCCGUCCCUGAGAAAGUGCUCGUGUCUCCUACGGCUUUGUCUGGAGAAGCAUGCUGAUUCAGAGGAGCCUUCUUGGCAGAUUAGCGGCUGACGGGAGAACCCCAGCCGCGGCAGCAGCCCUCAGACGGCGCGACUAGAUGAGACUCAAAGAGUGGUGUACAGAGACACUAAUGUGCGGCGUGUCCUGCCCAACGUCGUGUGCGUGGAGUAGACGGCUAGAAGCAAGGAGCGUUCCGACAGGAAGGGACGGGACAGCUGGCAGGGGACACCUGAGCUGCACCCCUGCAUGCAACCGGAAGCCUCCUCAUGCUGUGACCCCACCGAGGGAGCAGAGCUGACCUCACCCCUGCCCUCGGGGUGGGGCUGGUUGUUCCAGACCAAUCCUAAGGCGGGUGGCCCUAAGCCCCCGCCCUGGGGAUCGGUUUGGGUGACUCAGACGUGAGCCAGUCAGCUGGAAGUCCUGGGCUUCUGUUGACGACUGUUAGAAGUGGUGCCCUCUUUCCGAGCGUGAUGGUCAAAAUUUUGAAUAACUUCUCCAAGUCAGACUCUGACCCACUGGAACCAAAGUAGACUCAGUCCAGAUAAACUCGGAUCCAAGCAACUGGUUUGGUGACCGUGCUCAGUGCCUUCGAUGCCCCUGCCCCUCUCCCUGGCUGUGAAGCAUGUGACGGCAGUUGCUGCUGGCAACCCUUUUGUGACCAUGAGGCAAGCCACCCUGAGGAGUAAAAGGAUACACAGAGGAGGGCUGGACGAAGAGCCCUGGUCAGACCAUGCCAAGCUCUGCGCCCCCUUCAUCGCUUGGUCCUACUUGUGUGAGGUCUUGAGACCGUGUGAGGGAUGGCUUUUCUGUUUGUUUGGCUGGUUGCUUGGUUUUCGCAUCCUCUCGUCUGUCUCCUCACUUUCACACGUGAUUAAGCUAGGCCCAGAGAAGGGAAGGGCCUCGUCCAAACUCUUACAACACCAGGACCUCAGUCUUUUGUCCAUCAGACCAGUGUGCUUCUAAUAGACCAUGAAACUUCUCAUACCCCACCAUCGGCAGCAGCAGGGACUCAGCAAAUGUUUGUUGAAUGAAUGAAUUACUGACUGUGAAUGGGAUCAGAGGGAAGUGCUGGCAGCGUCUCGGGAUAAGGGCUUGGAGGGGGGGAGGGAGGAGGGGAUGGGAAGACGGGCGGGACAAUGAAAAGGAACACCCACGCGUUUAUUCUGUUUCAGUCCACGGACACAUUUCAGCACAAAAGGCUUUACUGAACUCCAGGCUCUCUGCGGAUAAACCUCACUUGUCACUAUGUCCAGAAACAAUAAAUACCCAAAGCGCA